rnacentral:rRNA from 1 species
GCAAGUCGUGCGAGAAAGUAUCUUCGGAUAUGAGUAGAGCGGCGGACGGGUGAGUAACGCGUAGGAAUCUACCUAGUAGAAGGGGAUAGCCCGGGGAAACCCGGAUUAAUACCGUAUACCUCCUUCGGGAGAAAGAAGGCCUCUCUUUGAAGCUUUCGCUACUAGAUGAGCCUGCGUAAGAUUAGCUUGUUGGUGAGGUAAAGGCUCACCAAGGCAACGAUCUUUAGCUGGUCUGAGAGGACGAUCAGCCACAUUGGGACUGAGACACGGCCCAGACUCCUACGGGAGGCAGCAGUGGGGAAUAUUGGACAAUGGGCGCAAGCCUGAUCCAGCCAUACCGCGUGUGUGAAGAAGGCCUUCGGGUUGUAAAGCACUUUAAGCAGGGAGAAAAAGUUAUAAGUUAAUACCUUAUAGCCUUGAUGUUACCUGCAGAAUAAGCACCGGCUAAUUCCGUGCCAGCAGCCGCGGUAAUACGGAAGGUGCAAGCGUUAAUCGGAAUUACUGGGCGUAAAGCGCGCGUAGGUGGUUUGUUAAGUUGGAUGUGAAAGCCCUGGGCUCAACCUAGGAACUGCAUCCAAAACUAACUCACUAGAGUACGAUAGAGGGAGGUAGAAUUCAUAGUGUAGCGGUGGAAUGCGUAGAUAUUAUGAAGAAUACCAGUGGCGAAGGCGGCCUCCUGGAUCUGUACUGACACUGAGGUGCGAAAGCGUGGGUAGCGAACAGGAUUAGAUACCCUGGUAGUCCACGCCGUAAACGAUGACAACUAGCUGUUGGGAGACAAAGUCUUUCAGUGGCGCAGCUAACGCUUUAAGUUGUCCGCCUGGGGAGUACGGCCGCA